rnacentral:rRNA from 1 species
AGCGAACGUUAGCGGCGGGCCUAACACAUGCAAGUCGAACGCGAAAGGUCUUCGGACUGAGUAGAGUGGCGCACGGGUGAGUAACACGUAGGUAAUCUACCCUUUGGCGGGGGAUAACGUUCCGAAAGGAGCGCUAAUACCGCAUAAGACCACGGAGUCUCCGGACGCUGUGGGAAAAGGUGGCCUCUUCUUGAAAACUAUCACCGAAGGAUGAGCCUGCGUCCCAUCAGCUAGUUGGUAAGGUAAUGGCUUACCAAGGCGAAGACGGGUAGCUGGUUUGAGAGAAUGAUCAGCCACACUGGCACUGGAACACGGGCCAGACUCCUACGGGAGGCAGCAGUGAGGAAUAUUGGGCAAUGGGCGAAAGCCUGACCCAGCCACGCCGCGUGAGUGAUGAAGGCCCUCGGGUCGUAAAGCUCUGUGGAGAGGGACGAAAACCCUGGUUUCAAAUAGGCUCCAGGCUUGACGGUACCUCUUUAGCAAGCACCGGCUAACUCUGUGCCAGCAGCCG